rnacentral:rRNA from 1 species
ACGGAGGGUCCGAGCGUUAAUCGGAAUUACUGGGCGUAAAGCGUGCGCAGGCGGUUUGUUAAGCGAGAUGUGAAAGCCCUGGGCUCAACCUAGGAAUAGCAUUUCGAACUGGCGAACUAGAGUCUUGUAGAGGGGGGUAGAAUUCCAGGUGUAGCGGUGAAAUGCGUAGAGAUCUGGAGGAAUACCGGUGGCGAAGGCGGCCCCCUGGACAAAGACUGACGCUCAUGCACGAAAGCGUGGGGAGCAAACAGG